AGAAUCAACGCUGGCGGCGUGCCUAACACAUGCAAGUCGAACGAGAAAGUGGAGCAAUCCAUGAGUAAAGUGGCGCACGGGUGAGUAACACGUGACUAACCUACCUUUUAGUGGGGGAUAACCUAGGGAAACCUGGGCUAAUACCGCAUAAUACCUACGGGUCAAAGCAGCAAUGCGCUGGAAGAGGGGGUCGCGGCCGAUUAGCUAGUUGGCGGGGUAAUGGCCCACCAAGGCAGUGAUCGGUAUCCGGCCUGAGAGGGCGCACGGACACACUGGAACUGAAACACGGUUCAGACUCCUACGGGAGGCAGCAGUGGGAAUUUUGCGCAAUGGGGGAAACCCUGACGCAGCAACGCCGCGUGGAGGAUGAAGACCCUUGGGUCGUAAACUCCUUUCGAGUCGGGACGAUAAUGACGGUACGGAAGAAGAAGCCCCGGCUAACUUCGUGCCAGCAGCCGC
rnacentral:rRNA from 1 species